rnacentral:rRNA from 1 species
GGGAGGCAGCAGUGGGGAAUAUUGCACAAUGGGCGAAAGCCUGAUGCAGCGACGCCGCGUGGGGGAUGACGGCCUUCGGGUUGUAAACCCCUUUCAGUAGGGAAGAAGCGAGAGUGACGGUACCUGCAGAAGAAGCGCCGGCUAACUACGUGCCAGCAGCCGCGGUAAUACGUAGGGCGCAAGCGUUGUCCGGAAUUAUUGGGCGUAAAGAGCUUGUAGGUGGCUUGUCGCGUCUGCCGUGAAAACCCGAGGCUCAACCUCGGGCGUGCGGUGGGUACGGGCAGGCUAGAGUGUGGUAGGGGAGACUGGAACUCCUGGUGUAGCGGUGAAAUGCGCAGAUAUCAGGAAGAACACCGAUGGCGAAGGCAGGUCUCUGGGCCAUUACUGACACUGAGAAGCGAAAGCAUGGGUAGCGAACAGGAUUAGAUACCCUGGUAGUCCAUGCCGUAAACGUUGGGCACUAGGUGUGGGGGACAUUCCACGUUUUCCGCGCCGUAGCUAACGCAUUAAGUGCCCCGCCUGGGGAGUACGGCCGCAAGGCUAAAACUCAAAGGAAUUGACGGGGGCCCGCACAAGCGGCGGAGCAUGCUGAUUAAUUCGAUGCAACGCGAAGAACCUUACCAAGGCUUGACAUGCACUGGACGGCUGCAG